rnacentral:misc_RNA from 1 species
UACGUAGGUGGCAAGCGUUGUCCGGAAUUAUUGGGCGUAAAGCGCGCGCAGGCGGUCCCUUAAGUCUGAUGUGAAAGCCCACGGCUCAACCGUGGAGGGUCAUUGGAUACUGGACGUCUUGAAUCUAGAAGAGGUCGGUGGAAUUCGUGGUGUAGCGGUGAAAUGCAUAGAUAUCACGAAGAACAUCAGUGGCGAAGGCGGCCGACUGGUCUAGGAUUGACGCUGAGGUGCGAAAGCGUGGGUAGCAAACAGG